rnacentral:lncRNA from 1 species
CAGAAAUUCCCAAAUUCCUUAAAACCCCACAGGAUGUUCAAGUGGAGGUAGGAACAACAGCUCAGCUAGAAUGCCAUGCUACAGGACCACCUAACCUAGUCAUAUCAUGGCAAAAAGAUGGCAUUAGCAAUUUUCCUGCCAUUGAGCAGAAACGUUGGCAUGUUGAACCAGCUCAGUCUGUUACAUUUAUUAGUCCAGUGAAGACAAUUGACGAGGGAGUUUACAGUUGCAUAGCAACAAACCAAAAUGGUACAGUUACAGCCAAUGCUA